UACGGAAGGGGCAAGCGUUGUUCGGAAUCAUUGGGCGUAAAGGGCGCGUAGGUGGUUCUGUAUGUCUACCGUGAAAGCGUACGGCUCAACUGUAUUUUGUCGGUAGAAACUGCAGGACUUGAGGCUGGGAGGGGCUGGUGGAAUUCCCUGUGUAGCGGUGAAAUGCGUAGAGAUGGGGGAGAACGCUCGUGGCGAAGGCGGCCAGCUAGACCAGUUCUGACACUGAGGCGCGACAGCGUGGGGAGCAAACAGG
rnacentral:rRNA from 1 species